GAUGAAGAACGCAGCGAAAUGCGAUACGUAGUGUGAAUUGCAGAAUUCAGUGAAUCAUCGAAUCUUUGAACGCACAUUGCGCCCUUUGGUAAUCCAAAGGGCAUGCCUGUUCGAGCGUCAUUUGUACCCUCAAGCUUUGCUUGGUGUUGGGCGUCUUGUCUCCAGUCCGCUGGAGACUCGCCUUAAAGUCAUUGGCAGCCGGCCUACUGGUUUCGGAGCGCAGCACAAGUCGCACUCUUUUCCAGCCAAGGUCAGUGUCCAACAAGCCUUUUUUCAACUUUUGACCUCGGAUCAGGUAGGGAUACCCGCUGAACUUAAGCAUAUCAAUAAGCGGAGGA
rnacentral:misc_RNA from 1 species